CGCGUGGUAGGGAAAUCGCCUGUCCCCCUCUCUAGCUUCUUACCUCCAACAGCCCCUGCCAAUUUGCAUCCUCCAGGAAGGAAACUUUAAAAGACAGCAGAUGGCACCUACACAGCAAGCAGGAGCAAACAGCCAUCCCUGAGGACAGCUCCAAAGGCAGCAACACCACCAGGGAGGGUGCAGGCAGAGAACACCCCAGCAGUGAGGCAGCAGCAGCACCGGGACCCAGACAGGAGGUCUUGCCGUGUUUCUGAACCUCAGAUGUGAACAGAGAACUGCAGAGACCCCACACCUCUGAUGUAAGAGGAGAAGAACCCAGAAUGGAUAACUUCCGAUGUCUGCCUGCUCAGCGCUCCUACACACACACCAUUGCUUUCAUAAGGUGGCUGUCGCUUCCUGUGUCACAGGAAACCAUGUCUUCCACACCAAUGAUACUGCCAGAGCCUGCAUCCAGAAGGUGCUUAAUAAA